GUGGGUAUGGCUCAGCUGGUUAGAGCGCCAGAUUGUGGUUCUGGAUGUCGUGGGUUCGAAUCCCACUAUCCACC
rnacentral:tRNA from 1 species